GAUGAACGCUGGCGGCGUGCUUAACACAUGCAAGUCGAACGGAAAGGCCCUGCCUUUGUGGGGUGCUCGAGUGGCGAACGGGUGAGUAACACGUGAGUAACCUGCCCUUCACUUUGGGAUAAGUCUGGGAAACUGGGGCUAAUACCGGAUAGGAGCUCGUGCUGCAUGGUGGUGUGGAGAGAGUUUCGGUGGGUGGGGAUAUAGUGGCGGCUUAGCAGUUUGUUGGUGUGGUAGUGGCUUACCAAGGCUACGAGGGGUAGCCGGCAUGGGAGGUGGACCGGCCACAUUGGGCUUAGGAUAGGCCCCAGACCCCUAUGGGAGGCAGCGGGGGGAAAAAUGGCACAUGGGCGCGAAGCCGGUGCCGGCACCGCGGGGGGCGGAAGACCGCCUUCGGGGUGUAAACCCGCUUUGGAAUGUACCAAACGUUUAGUGACGGUAACUGGUAAAGAAGCACCGGCUAACUACGUG
rnacentral:rRNA from 1 species